AGCGGCGGACGGGUGAGUAAUGCCUAGGAAAUUGCCCUGAUGUGGGGGAUAACCAUUGGAAACGAUGGCUAAUACCGCAUGAUGCCUACGGGCCAAAGAGGGGGACCUUCGGGCCUCUCGCGUCAGGAUAUGCCUAGGUGGGAUUAGCUAGUUGGUGAGGUAAGGGCUCACCAAGGCGACGAUCCCUAGCUGGUCUGAGAGGAUGAUCAGCCACACUGGAACUGAGACACGGUCCAGACUCCUACGGGAGGCAGCAGUGGGGAAUAUUGCACAAUGGGCGCAAGCCUGAUGCAGCCAUGCCGCGUGUGUGAAGAAGGCCUUCGGGUUGUAAAGCACUUUCAGUCGUGAGGAAGGUAGUGUAGUUAAUAGCUGCAUUAUUUGACGUUAGCGACAGAAGAAGCACCGGCUAACUCCGUGCCAGCAGCCGCGGUAAUACGGAGGGUGCGAGCGUUAAUCGGAAUUACUGGGCGUAAAGCGCAUGCAGGUGGUUUGUUAAGUCAGAUGUGAAAGCCCGGGGCUCAACCUCGGAAUUGCAUUUGAAACUGGCAGACUAGAGUACUGUAGAGGGGGGUAGAAUUUCAGGUGUAGCGGUGAAAUGCGUAGAGAUCUGAAGGAAUACCGGUGGCGAAGGCGGCCCCCUGGACAGAUACUGACACUCAGAUGCGAAAGCGUGGGGAGCAAACAGGAUUAGAUACCCUGGUAGUCCACGCCGUAAACGAUGUCUACUUGGAGGUUGUGGCCUUGAGCCGUGGCUUUCGGAGCUAACGCGUUAAGUAGACCGCCUGGGGAGUACGGUCGCAAGAUUAAAACUCAAAUGAAUUGACGGGGGCCCGCACAAGCGGUGGAGCAUGUGGUUUAAUUCGAUGCAACGCGAAGAACCUUACCUACUCUUGACAUCCAGAGAACUUUCCAGAGAUGGAUUGGUGCCUUCGGGAACUCUGAGACAGGUGCUGCAUGGCUGUCGUCAGCUCGUGUUGUGAAAUGUUGGGUUAAGUCCCGCAACGAGCGCAACCCUUAUCCUUGUUUGCCAGCGAGUAAUGUCGGGAACUCCAGGGAGACUGCCGGUGAUAAACCGGAGGAAGGUGGGGACGACGUCAAGUCAUCAUGGCCCUUACGAGUAGGGCUACACACGUGCUACAAUGGCGCAUACAGAGGGCAGCCAACUUGCGAAAGUGAGCGAAUCCCAAAAAGUGCGUCGUAGUCCGGAUUGGAGUCUGCAACUCGACUCCAUGAAGUCGGAAUCGCUAGUAAUCGUGGAUCAGAAUGCCACGGUGAAUACGUUCCCGGGCCUUGUACACACCGCCCGUCACACCAUGGGAGUGGGCUGCAAAAGAAGUAGGUAGUUUAACCUUCGGGGGGACGCUUACCAC
rnacentral:rRNA from 1 species